ensembl:lncRNA
GAAUGUGAGUAUCCAAAACAGGUGUAGUCCAUAAAGCAGUCUGAGGGUAGACAGCUGAGAGGCUUCCUGCUCCUACCCAUCCAUCAAGGACGCAGAUCCUAAGAAUCCACUGACAAAAGCAAGCCAGAAGUCAGUUCUUGGAUGGACUAAAGCCCUAGGAAGAUUCUCAUAACAGGAACAAGGAAAAGUGGCUAACUCAGAAGACCAGGACUGAUGGGUGCUGAGAGGAGAGAAAGCAAGGAAGGAGGCGUCAGGAUGAGGAACUGAAGAGUAGAAAACACAACUCCAGGGCUGACAAGGAGCACAAUGGCCUACCCUGCCUGCUCUCCAGCUACCUACUGUGGUUCCUGCCUGGACUUUCCCCGUAAUUCAGAUCUUCUUGCUCCUCCCCCAAGAAUGGCUCAAAACCCCUAGAUGUAUGAAGCAUCUUUACCUACCCCAGUCCUCCCUUGAUGCUGCCUUCUGGAGUUCAAGUCCCCCUACCCAGAAACUUGACGAUCAAACUACCCAAAUUGGGAAGACAGCUGCUGUGCAUGAGGAUACUCAAGCAGGCCUGUAGAGACGUUGACAUGAAGAGGAGCUAAGACCUCCCACCAACAACCAUACCAAUUUGCCAGCUAUGUAGGUGAGCCACUUUGGAAGUAGACCACAGCUCCAGUCAAGACUUCAGACGACAGCAGAGUUUUAGCCAACAUCUUGACUGCAACCUCAUGAGAGACCCAAGCCAGAACUGCCCAGCUAAGCUGCUCCUGGACUCCUGAUCCACAGAAACUUGAAAUUACGGUGCUCACCCCCUCAGCCUUCCUCACCACAAAACACCACCUUCCAACAGAAAGAAUCGCUGUCACGGGGUGGAGGAUAAAAAGGAUGAAGAAUGUUGCUAAGAGAAAGCCGCAAGGCUCCUGUAUGGUGUUUCUGGGAUGACACAAGAGGCUCUAACAAGACACCUUUUAUCAGCCUGAAGAAGAGGGGGCAUUUAUCAUGACAGACUAAUUACUCACUUUGAGUUAGUGUUAUAUCUGUGUAUGUACCCAAUGUGGCUAUAUAGUAACGAGAGGUUUUUAAACAAAUAAUCCAUACCUUACAUGUCCACAUAAAUGCUCCACAGUAGUUAGUCACCUUAAAUUUAAAUGCUGAUUUCGGUGUGUCCGACCGCCCCCCUACCUCCUCAUUGCUCACAGCAUUUCAGGUACAUCCCUUUUGAAAUUACCUUCACAGCUUGCAAUAUAUUCUUUUGAAUAUCCUUAAUGGUGACAAUGGUUCACCAGUUACAGUGUCAUAUUUUUGGUUUUGUUUUAAGUCAAAAAUCAUUUUGAGCUAAAUCCAUGAUGAAGGAUUAAAUUGGGUAAAAAUAAUUGAAAAUGCCAACUAAAUGCCAGUCACUAAGCUAAGUGUAUUUUAUAAAUCAUCUCACCUAAUUUAAUUCCCACCAGAAACCUAUAGAGUGGAUCUUAGUGUCCCAUUUAAUGCUUCUUUAAUAAUAAUAAAAUAUGUACAUAUUCAUUGAAAAAAGUUUGGAAAAUCUAGAAGAGUAGAAAGAGGAAAACAAACCUCCUUCAAGGUCUCACCACUAUUGACAUCACCAAGUUUAUCGGUCGAGUCUUUCUACUACCAGUGACUAUGUAAAUAUGCUCUUCCCCCCAAAUUAAUCAUACUGUGCAUAACUUUAUAAUUUUUCACUUAAUAUUAUAUUCUGAAUAGUUUUGUAUGUCACUAAAUUUCUUUUACAAAAUCAUCUUUACUCACUGUUUUGUAUUCCUGUAUGUGGAUAUGUCAUAAUCAAAGAAUUCCAGUAUUUCAAUGCUUUCAAUGAACAUUCUUCACAGAUCAAUAUUUGUGGAUUUCUAUGAUCAUUUCCUUCAGAUAAUUCCCUAGAAGUAGAAUUGCUGGAUUCAAGGCACACAUAUAUUUAGAGGCUAUUAAAAUUUCACCAAUUUUUAGAUGAGUAAAUGAAAGCUCAAAGAAGGAUUUUCCAAGGUCAUAAACCCAGAACGUAGCACAGGUUGGGUUUGACCUCAGUCUGCGACUCUUUAAAGACUAUGAUUUUUUCCCCACUAUGAUAAAUGAAUUUUGAUUAAAAGUGAGAAAUAUCAAUUAAAAAAGAAUUUUCACAUGUGCAAGAAAAACUAUUCCUGAAAGAAUUUUUUAAAGGAGUUUUAAAAGUCCUUCAUUGUUUCUGUAAUGAUUCUUUGAAGGACCAAGCUCAUCUCUGAGUUCAUGUUUUUGUUAGAUUCUGUUUUAAAGCCCUCACUGUACUUCAUGGCUACAUUCUUAGAAGAUGCCAGUUCUGUCCUUCAUGAAUUUACAAUACUACUAAUAUUCUGGCCUAAGCACUGGACUUCUGGUUGAACAGCCAAAAAGCACAAUCCCUCCAGCAUUUAGGCAAUCUCAUUGGGACAAACUUGGUUACAAUUCAGGCAAGCCAUGACCAGGUGGGGAGUCCACAUCCGAGUGUUUAGAAUACCAAAUGACUAAUUGAUAACUGGUCUUCUUUCAGUCUGGCUACAUUCUGAUAACAGGGAAAAAAACAUUUCCAUUUCCCACCCAAAGUUCUACUGGUUUGUUAUGAACGUAUAGCCUGUUCUCCUGGAAGGAUGAGUGGAAUGAGCAAUACAAGUACAACCAGCUCUCUUCCUUGCACAUUUGUCACUGGAAUGUAGUUCAAAAUAGAUUAGAGAAAACCAGACUGGUGGGAGAGGUGCAGUGGAACGGAUGGGUGGGGAUAUUGUGCUGAAGUUGUAUUUUUAUAGAAGAGUCUAUAAACAUUUCCAAAUUGUCCUUAAUUCAUUAGUCCCAAGCACUCUUCCCUCCUGGGGGACCAAGUAGAUUUUAAAGGUAAGGCAGAGGAGAGGAUUUUAAAGGUAAGGCAGAGGAGAGGAUUUUAAAGGUAAGGCAGAGGAGGAAGUUGAUUUAGGAAUUCUGACUUCAGGCUUUCAAAGCUGUGAAAGGGUGCUUUCAACCUUUUGGGGAGCUCCUCUAGCUUUCCCCAGUGCUCUGUUUAUUGAUCAGAUGAUCAACAAACAGCCCUGCUUUCUCACCCUGAUCACUAACCUCACCAUGAGUGUUUCAACAUCUCAAAUGUAACUCAACCAACAGAACUCUGCGCUUCCGCCCGGCCUAUGAUCCAUCCCUUCUUCUCUCACCCUAACCUACUCCUUCUCCAAAUUACCGGGUUAGUAAUCAGCACCACUAUGCACCAUGCAUGGGUGCACCACGUUCAAGCCGUCUGAGAUUCUGCUUUUUCCCUGAACCCAACAUCCUUUAGCCUUUACCCUCAACACACAUCCCCAUUCCCUCCAUUGAUCCUUCUCUCCACCUCCACUGCUGUCCCCCAGUGUAAACCUCCAUAGACACUCAUCUAAAUUCUCGUUUCUACUCCUGUUCCUUAACAAUAUUUUCUCCAAGAAUAAUCAGUGAUCUUUCAAACAUGAAUCAAGCCAGUGGCCUACUUAAAAUACUCCAAUGACUUUCGGUCACAGAAGGCCAGACUCCUCACCAUCAUAUAGAAAGUCAAGUCCCUGCCCACCUCUCUACCCUCAUCCUCUCCCCACUGCCCCGCCUGGCUCUCCACUUAGGCCUGAAACUUUCUCUUCCUACUGCCUGGAAUACUCACCCUCUCAGACCUUCACCAAGCUGGUUUACUUUUAUCAUUCAGAGCUCAGUUCAUUUAUUAUUUACUCAGAAGGCUUCCCAACUCCCCUCCACAAAAAGUUGCCCCACUUUAUUUUCUUUACAUCACUGAUCACUAGCAGAAAUCAUCUCCUAUUUAUCUAUGCAAUUGUCUAUUACUCUGUCUCCCUCAUUAAAACAUAGGCUCCAAAAAGUUGGGCAUGUCUAACUUACUCAACAUUCUAUUCCAGCAAACACAAUAGAGCCUACCUCAGAGGAAGCACUCAAAAGAAGCGUCAAAUGAAAGAAUCGAUGAAUGACUGAGAGAUGGGUAUGUGGAACCCAUUCCCCCAUUACUGCCUUAAAUUCCUCAAGAAAACAAUUAUGUGAUUCUUUUGAGAUUCAGGCAAUGACACCAUAUUGAGUGAGAUUCAGCCACUAGAUAAUUUACUCCAAGUUGUAAGUUAGGCACUUUUAAUAGUCACAACAAUUCUUAAGCUGUUAGUACACGAAAGUGUUAGUGGCCCAAAAGAAAUGACGAGCCUUCCAAAGUCCAUUUCCCAUGACGAGCAAUUUGGUGACGAUAGAAAGGAUAUGGCACAUUGUAUUUUAUGCAAUUUACUCCUGUUGUCUUCUUGAAUGUUAAGCCUAACUCUCUUUGCCUAAAGAAUUCUGGAUUUGAAAAGUAAAUUCUUAAGACAUCAACUAUAAUGUUAAAUCAAAAUGCAUAAAUAAUUGAUGAUAUUCAGAUUAUUCAUCUUGCAAUAUAGAGAAAGUAUGCAUUUCAACAAAAAAAUAUGUGUGUAUAUAUACUUAAACACAUAAAUGCACAGGAAUAAGAAUAUAUCAAGUAAAAAUGAGUUUGCUGUAUGGAUGAAACUUUCUCAGCAUAUCAUGCAUGAGCUGCAAACAGUGGGAAUCUCCACAUAUUUGAAAUCUUUAUAGAUACAAUGCUGUCCCCACAUCACAUCUUGCCUAAGAGCUUCAGAAGGAACCUUGUGAGGAAUGUGAAGCAAAAUAAAAAUCUUAGCUCUUGUGUGGCAAAUUAAAGCAGAGCUGAAGUCUGGGUCUCUGGAGUCAUAUUCACAGGAACACAUUCUUGUGACUAAAACAGUGC